UACCAGCUCUCCGAGUUGUAGGGAUGAUUAUUGGGCUUAAAGCGUCCGUAGCUGGCUUAGCAAGUCUCCUGUUAAAUUCAGCGACCUAAUCGUUGAGCCGCGGGAGAUACUACUAGGCUAGGAGGCGGGAUAGGUCGACGGUACUUUCGGGGUAGGGGUGAAAUCCUAUAAUCCCGGGAGGACCACCAGUGGCGAAGGCUGUCGACUAGAACGCGCUCGACGGUGAGGGAUGAAAGCUGGGGGAGCGAACCGGAUUAGAUACCCGGGUAGUCCCAGCUGUAAACGAUGCAGGCUAGGUGUUUGGGCGGCCACGUGCCGCUCUAGUGCCGCAGGGAAGUCGUUAAGCCUGCCGCCUGGGGAGUACGGCCGCAAGGCUGAAACUUAAGGAAUUGGCGGGGGAGCACCACGAAGGGGUGAAGCUUGCGGUUU
rnacentral:rRNA from 1 species